rnacentral:pre_miRNA from 1 species
AGGAGGAACAAUCCCAGUGGCUGUGGCAGCUCAGGAAACCAGGAUUCAGCUCCAGCAGGAACUUCUCAGUCUUCAGGGGCCUGGAGGCUCUGUGGGCGU